GGCAACCUACGGGAGGCAGCAGUGAGGAAUAUUGGUCAAUGGGCGAGAGCCUGAACCAGCCAAGUCGCGUGAAGGAUGACGGCCCUAUGGGUUGUAAACUUCUUUUGUCAGGGAGCAAUUGGGUCCACGUGUGGGCUUAGCGAGAGUACCUGAAGAAAAAGCAUCGGCUAACUCCGUGCCAGCAGCCGCGGUAAUACGGAGGAUGCGAGCGUUAUCCGGAUUUAUUGGGUUUAAAGGGUGCGUAGGCGGAAUAUCAAGUCAGCGGUAAAAAUUCGGGGCUCAACCCCGUCGGGCCG
rnacentral:rRNA from 1 species